UCUUUUUCUUUUCUUUUCUUUUCUUUUCUUUUCUUUUCUUUUCUUUUCUUUUCUUUUCUUUUCUUUUCUUUUCUUUUCUUUUCUUUUCUUUUCUUUUCCCUGAAGGUUUAUUUACCCUCACCUACGACUUCUUCCUGCACUGGCAGAUAUGAUCCAAAUGUUCUUGGGCAUUUUGUUCUGCUUUAAUUCAAAGGUUCAGCCACUGGUGGUGUAUGCUUUAUUUCAAAAGGUUUCGCCUUAGAAGCUCUCAAGACGGGGACAAAAAUUACUGGUGACAGCACUGCUUUCAUCUGCAGGAAGCCAUCAAUCGUUGCCUAUGUCAGCCCUUGAGCCCGUGCCCGCCCGCUCUCGGUGCCGCCGGUGCCGCGGCGGGUUCCUAACGGCUUCCCCGCCCGACGGGGCCGCGGGGGCGGCUCCCUCCCGGCUCGCUCGGCCCCUCGAGCGAGGCCGGAGGCCGGGGGGCGAGAGAGAGGGAGGGCGAGAGGGAGGGAGAGAGGGAAGGUAGGUCCGUGUGUGUUGUGGGAAGGCUGCCGGGAUACGCGCCUGUGUUGUGGAAACCGCGAACGGCCGAGGGGCCGCCUGCGGGUCUCUGGCGGAUACCUCUGGCAGCCGGUUCCCUCGGCUGUCCGGGCAAGCGUUCGGGACCUCCGGAAAGGCCUCGCGCUCGCGUCUUGGAGCUGCCCCAUGCCCCUCGCGGGGAAGCCUCGUCCAGCGGCGGGAUGGACCUGGCGGUGAGGGAGCGGCUGCUCGCGGCAGAGAGCGGAGGAGAUGUUCAGGCUUUGAAGAAUGCUUACGAGUUGAUCAAAUCAGCCAGUCAAGGACAAUCUGCACUUGACUCGUCAGAUAACAUCAGCACCGACUUAUAUGUUUUAUGUGCUGAACAAGCACUUCGGGUUUGUAAUUUAGGUCUUUUAGCUGUAUUGAAUGAAAACAUGUAUAGAUACACUGUAUUUACAGCCGUUACAGUUACUACUUUAAAAAUCUCAGAAGUACCUGAGGAAAGUAUGACACUGUUCUGGUUUUGGAGAGCAAUUGUUUAA
rnacentral:lncRNA from 13 species